UACGUAGGGGGCGAGCGUUGUCCGGAUUUAUUGGGCGUAAAGGGUGCGUAGGCGGCGCGGUAAGUCGGGUGUGAAAUCUCGGAGCUUAACUCCGAAACUGCAUUCGAUACUGCCGUGCUUGAGGACUGGAGAGGAGACUGGAAUUUACGGUGUAGCAGUGAAAUGCGUAGAGAUCGUAAGGAAGACCAGUGGCGAAGGCGGGUCUCUGGACAGUUCCUGACACUGAGGCACGAAGGCCAGGGGAGCAAACGGG
rnacentral:rRNA from 1 species